CCGAAACUAAAGAGAGAUUUCCCCAGCGGAGGAUCCUGGGUAAUUCUCUCCUGCUCCCCACCCCUGUUCCAGGAAGCUGCUGCUAACAGUUGCUUUAAGAGAAUCCAGCUCUUUUUGAAACAAAUUAUGUGAAAGGAUAAAUCCAAUUUCUAUAUGAUGACACCACGAACCAAAGCAUCUCAGGAGGAAACGCUGGAGCUGAGAAGCAGAAAGCCACCCAGUUACUGCUACCCCCACCCCACAGGACAAAGUGAGAACAUGAGCAUCUCUGAAGAAAAAGGAAAAACACCCCAA
rnacentral:lncRNA from 1 species